AUUGAACGCUGGCGGCGUGCCUAAUACAUGCAAGUCGAACGCAGUGGGGACGGGUGAGUAACACGUGGGUAACCUCCCAUCAGAGUGGCUAACACUUGGCAACAGGUGCUAAACCGAUACUGAUUGAUGGACCCGCGGUGCAUGAGCUAGUUGGUGAGGUAACGGCUCACCAAGGCAACGAUGCAUAGCGGACCUGAGAGGGUGAUCGGCCACACUGGGACUGAGACACGGCCCAGACUCCUACGGGAGGCAGCAGUAGGGAAUCUUGGGCAAUGGAGGAAAGUCUGACCGAGCAACGCCGCGUGAGUGAAGAAGGUUUUCGGAUCGUAAAGCUCUGUUGUUAGAGAAGCGGUAUCUAACCAGAAAGCCACGGCUAACUACGUGCCAGCAGCCGCGGUAAUUC
rnacentral:rRNA from 1 species